GAUGCCGUGAGAUCGCGCCGAGCGCGGUCCACUGAUCGUCACCGGCUGGUCGUC
rnacentral:sRNA from 1 species